UGGGGAAUAUUGGGCAAUGGGCGAAAGCCUGACCCAGCAAUGCCGCGUGAAGGACGAAGGUCUUCGGAUUGUAAACUUCUUUGAUCAGGGACGAAUAAAUGACGGUACCUGAAGAACAAGCCACGGCUAACUACGUGCCAGCAGCCGCGGUAAUACGUAGGGGGCUAGCGUUAUCCGGAUUUACUGGGCGUAAAGGGUGCGUAGGUGGUCUUUCAAGUCGGUGGUUAAAGGCUACGGCUCAACCGUAGUUAGCCUCCGAAACUGGAAGACUUGAGUGCAGGAGAGGAAAGUGGAAUUCCCAGUGUAGCGGUGAAAUGCGUAGAUAUUGGGAGGAACACCAGUAGCGAAGGCGGCUUUCUAGACUGCAACUGACACUGAGGCACGAAAGCGUGGGUAGCAAACAGG
rnacentral:rRNA from 1 species